AUGCUCGCUUCAGGAGUAUAUAUACUAGGAUUGGAAUGAUAUUGAGAUUAGCAUCGCCCCUGUGCAAGAAGGACACACAAAUUCAUGAAGCAUUCCAUAUUUUU
ensembl:snRNA U6 U6 spliceosomal RNA